UGCCAGAGUUUCUCUUCUCCGGUAGAAUAAUUUGAACUCCCUGGAGUGAACAGAGGAAAGAAAAAAACUGCAGCCAUGUCCAAGAUCGUAGGCGCGACUCUCCUGCUCAUCCUUCUGAUCGACAUCUUCUGCACAGCUUCAUCUGAUAAAUUUUUUGUGAGUAGACUGGAUCUCGUCAAAUGCAGAUGCAAACACUUGGCAAAUGGUAAAAGAAAGUGCCCCUUUCCACUGAUGCCCACGGACGACAAACUCAAAACCGAUCUGAUGAAAUGCAUCUGCAAAACAAAAAAAGACAGGUCUCAAGCGCUUCCGGCAUUCUGCAGCCACCCAAUCAUUCCAUUGAGUAGAUAUCAUGGGUUAUUUUUUUGAAGACAAUUUUUAUUUUUAUGUUUUUUUUUCAGUUCAGAGAAAAAAUCUCUAAAACAGAUUAGGCAUGUCUGGUACUGUCUAGCAAACACGGAAUUAAAAAGAUAAAUCUGUAUUUAUCCUGCAGGUAAAGCACAUCAUAAAUCUUUCAUAUCCACAAACUCACUGUAUUGAAUAUUGAAAUAAAUGUUCCAUUUCUGUUAAUGUCUGCAGCAUGUGGUUCUUCCUCUAAAACACACAUAUGUACAUCACAUGUCACAUCUCUUUUGUUGUUGUUUUCAGUGUUGCUGCAGCUGGCACAAUAAAUGUUCACACUGAUGAAUCAGAUGUUGAUAAAAAAGCUAUUUCACCGU